UACGGGGGGGGCAAGCGUUGUUCGGAAUUACUGGGCGUAAAGGGCUCGUAGGCGGCCAACUAAGUCAGACGUGAAAUCCCUCGGCUUAACCGGGGAACUGCGUCUGAUACUGGAUGGCUCGAGAUUGGGAGAGGGAUGCGGAAUUCCAGGUGUAGCGGUGAAAUGCGUAGAUAUCUGGAGGAACACCGGUGGCGAAGGCGGCAUCCUGGACCAACACUGACGCUGAGGAGCGAAAGCCAGGGGAGCAACGGG
rnacentral:rRNA from 1 species